rnacentral:rRNA from 1 species
UACGUAGGGUGCGAGCGUUGUCCGGAAUUAUUGGGCGUAAAGGGCUCGUAGGCGGUUUGUCGCGUCGGGAGUGAAAACCCAGGGCUUAACCCUGGGCUGGCUUCCGAUACGGGCAGACUAGAGGUAUGCAGGGGAGAACGGAAUUCCUGGUGUAGCGGUGAAAUGCGUAGAUAUCAGGAAGAACACCCGUGGCGAAAGCGGCUCUCUGGGACGGUACUGACGCUGAGACGCGAAAGCGUGGGGAGCGAACAGG